GGGAGAGUCACAUGGAUGGAAGAGGGGACAUUUACAUGGCAGGAAGAUGGAGAGUGGGGAGUGAGACACGGAAGGAAGGGGCAAAGAGAAACAUGUAAGGAAGGGGAAGUUAGACACGGGAGGAAGGGAGAUACGGAGAGACAUGAAAGGAGGGGAUGUCUGAGUAUGUGUCUGUGAGUGUGUGUUUCUGUCUGUGGAUGAGUCGAUAGAUUUGCAU